GACGAACGCUGGCGGCGUGCCUAAUACAUGCAAGUCGAGCGAAAAGACGAGGAGUUUGCUCCGCUGACGUUAGCGGCGGACGGGAGAGUAACACGUGGAUAACCUACCUAUAAGACUGGGAUAACUACGGGAAACCGGAGCUAAUACCGGAUGAUAUAUUGAACCGCAUGGGUCAAUAGUGAGAGUCGGUGUUGGGGUAAGUAAUAGCUGGAUCCGCGCUGCAUUAGCUAGUUGGUAAGGUAAAGGCUUACCAAGGCAAGGAUGCGUAGCCGACCUCAGAGGGUGGUCGGCCACCCUGGAACGUAGACACCGUCCAGACUCCUACGGUAGGCAGCAGUAGGGAAUCUUCCGCAAUGGUCGAAAGCCUGACGGAGCAACGCCGCGUGAGUGAUGAAGGUCCUCGGAUCGGAAAGCUCUGUUAUGAGUGAAGAACAAAUGUGUAAUUAACCGUGCACAUCUUGACGGUACCGAAUCAGAAAGCCCCGGCUAACUACGUG
rnacentral:rRNA from 1 species